AAAUGCCAGUUGAUUCAAAUAAACCUCAGCCUCUCCUGAGAAUUCUCUUAUGCCCUAGUGUGUCAGAUUAGUCCACCUUGCAGCACCUGAGACUGAAGCUCCUCCCAAGACAGAGGCGCAUGUUUCCUUCCGAACUCUGCUUUCACAUGGAAGAUUGGCUUUAAGAUGAAGGCCUGCAUUUGCAAACAGAAACUAUAGCAGACACAUAAAAUCCAUUGUAUUUUCAGGCAUUCAGAUUGGAGCAGAACUUAAGAGAGUGUGUGGGGUGAUCCUAAAAGUCUCAGAGCAUUUGACUGAAUCAUUUCAAGGUGCUCCUUCAGAGCCUGGGCCACAUGCAUUCCUUUUCUGGGUCGCCUGUGAUAUUAGGGCAAUGAUAAUGAUUGAAAACGUGUCUGUUGAGUAAACAUAGCCUCUCUUCCAACUAGACAAUGUGCUCAUGGCACAUUGACAUGAUAUGUGUCAUACUCAUGGUAAUUGACAAACCUUCAUAUGCUUCUUCCCCUGCCCAGAAAGAUCUUUCUAGUACCUCCUUCAAUCGAGAUUCUGUCUACACGCUGAACCCCUGUGGAAGUGGCACCUUCAGGCAGCCCUGCCUUUGAGAUGAAGUAGGCUGCUCUGUUUGGGAAGUAAGGGGUGCCCCUUCCUCAAGGGUGUUUGGGUUAAGGCUGGACAUCAAUUAGUGAGCACACCCAGCAAAGUCCACCCAGGAAAAAGAAACCAGAAAGUAUUGAAAACAGAGGGAUGUGAGCGCAGGAAUUGGUUUUUGCAGGAGAUGGAAGAGCUGAGAAGCCAUACAGGGGCUUCUGAACUGAAGCUUCUGAACUAGGGAGACGCAUUUGAACUUGAGAACUGUAGGGAACCUUUCCAGCUCAGGGAGGGGCACUUGGCAGGAACACUCUUUACUUUCCACCGCGCCCGGCCAGGGCUGUCUUUCAAAGUGCCAUGUUCUCCUUGUCCAAGGUACAGCCAGGCAACCUGGCCAAAUCCAUAAGACUCACUCUUCCAGGGGGGUAAAUUCUGAAUGGGGUGACAAGUUAAAGCUCACUAUUUCGCCUGCAAUCUCCAGUGACCAUGUCUGUGAGCUCCUACUACCUCCAACCCCAGAACUGCCCACAUCCUUGUCCUUGCAAGACCUGCUUGCUCAGCUUUUUCUUGAGUCUUUAAGAAUGAGUUUCUGUUGCUUGCAGCCAUCAAACUCCAAGUGAUGCAGGGUCUGAUAGUGGGCAAGGUGUGUAGCCUCUUUGAGCCCUGGAUUCUGCAUUUAUAUACUGGAGAUACCAGGACAUACCUCAUGAGGCGAGGGGCAAGGUGCUUAGUCCAUCAUGUGUGUUUCACAAAUAUUUCACCCUUUCUUCCUUGCCCUGCUGAACAAGUGACCUUCAAAAGGUAAUGGACUGUACCCACAUUCCACAGGUGGCCAGUGGCAAACAUCGAUGGUCAAGUCUCCUGAGACCUCGUGUUGUUCUUCAAGACCUCUCUGCUUUUCAAGCAUUUCCUUGAGUCACACAGAUGGGUGAGCAGUGUUUUAUCCAUUUCAAUGGAGGAAAAGUGAAAUUUCUUUAAAAAUAAAAACAAAACUUGCCAAAAACUCAUCAUAAGGAACAAAAGCAACAGAUUCUCCAGCUGUGGCCCUUUACCAAAAGCUCUGGCCCAAGCUUCUACACAGCAAAGCUGCUACACUCCGUGGACUCCUCUCUCCAUCAGACUGCCACUGAUUUUGUUUUAGAAGCAUACGUAGGAAGAGCCUUGGCUUUGAGGGACCUGCUGCCUCCCCUGUGACUCUGUAUUGGUAAGCACAGAAGAUCCUCAGAUCCUCCGAGAAGUUCUCAGCAGACAUCCUCAGCUCCAGGCCUCCCUUCUUCUCCACCCUGCUCAGCAUGAACCUAGAGCUGGAGGCAGCUAGCCAUGUCUGGCUGCCUCCCUGGGUCCUCAUAUGAUACUGAGCCAGGUCUCCAGGGAACACUGUUCACAUGGACAGAGUCUGAACUCAGUAGUGAUGCUCCUGAGUGGGUUCCACAGGAAACACACCGGCUAUUCCAAAGGCCUGCUGGCCACAAAGCCUUCUAACAAUAAUAAGUACUAGCAGUAUCACUGCUGUUUAUUGCUUCCUGUCAGGUGGGAACUAAGUCCAUUAGCCCAAGUUCAGUAGCCCUGUUUUACAAAUGCAGAAACAGGCUUAGAACAAUUAAGAAACUUGAUCAAGACCACACAAUUAUUAAGGGAUAGAGUCAAGAAUUUCACUCAGGUCUCCCUGACUCCAAAGCCUGUGCUCUUAACCACUAUAGAUGUCUCUAAUGCUUCGGAGGGGAGGCCACCAUGACCCCCACUUACAGUCACCAGCUGGGCCCCGGCCGCCCAGAGAUCAUGCAGAGUGAACAGAACUGAUUUCCAGCACUGCUGUUCCAUGGCUGUGUGACUUUCGACCGUCUCAUUUCCCCUCUGUUUCUCAGUUCCCUCUUAUGAAAGAUGGAGGACACUAUACCUGCCAUGCCUCAGUGGGACAAGAUCAUCUAUAAUGUUCUGCAUGGAAGCACCAUGAAAGGCAUUACCAGCUUGAAGAAAACCAGUGUCUGGAAUGAGGCGACACCAGUAUGUAGGGAGAGCAAUCGGGAAGCGAUAAGAAGGAGAUUCACUAGGGGUCUGCUGGGCCGCCUGCUGCAGAGAACGCCUCUAGAAUCCUGCACUCCCGUCUUCCUUCCUGCAGCUCAAAGCUGGCCCACCCUGGAGAUGGUACCAGCUGGGGCUCUCCUUCCGGGCCUCAGUGAGGGAGGGGAAGGAGCCAAGAAUGGGUCAGUAACCACAGGAUUCUUUGAGUUCACAGAGAGUCUGCCUGCUGUGGGCCUCCAAAGAGUUCUGCCAGUUCUUCCCAAGUCAGCUUGGGCUUAAAGUCCUUCCUGCACCAACUGGGAAGGAGCUGGAGAAGCUCCACCUGGGAUGGGAAGCUCGACCUGGGAUGGGAAGCUCGACCCGGGAUGGGAAGCUCGACCCAGGAUGGGAAGCCUACUUUGUGUUGAACUUCCUAUUUUGUCACUCUCUGCAGGCCCAAUGACCAGAGAAUUUUCUCUGCCCUUUCUGGCAAGAUUAGUGGCUUCCCCUCACCCACUCUACCCCCACCUCCUCAUUACAGAACAAAGGAACCUGGCUUCUUCCCGCCAGUCCAGAGAGGGUUCCUAAUUGGCUUUCCAUUAAAGAGAAAAUAGACUACU
rnacentral:lncRNA from 1 species